rnacentral:misc_RNA from 1 species
AACCAGCGUUGGGCCCACAAGAUAAUGUCACAUAGGUCGAAAAGGUUAGAAAAUUAUUAAUAAAAUAAGUUCAAGGAUGUAAUAUGAUCUUAUUAUAGCAUAACUGUGUCUCUGAGAAUACGGGCAUAGAUUGAGGGGAUACUUGUGCAUUAUCCCUAAUUUUAUCACUCGACAUUAUGAUUACUUUAAGGAUUAAAAGUUGAUUGAAAUGCUAUUCAGUUUUUUGAGGUAUGUUAUUUCAAAAGAUAAAAUUUUUUCUGGUUAGAAUGAUUUGUUAUCAUCAUUGAAUAUCCUAUAGUUUACUCCCUUUAAUGUAUGUUUUUCUCACUUUUAUGUUGUCUCCUUACAAUUAUAUUGAUUCUUUUUGGUUUGUAUGUACAUAAUCUGACUAUG